GACCCGCCCCCCCCUUGGGCUCCUCCAAGUCGGCCGGGCAUGGCCCGCCCCUCUCAUCUGCAUCCUGCAGCCCGCCCCCUUCAACUCCUUGCUGUCUGUCAAGCGAGGCCCGCCCCCUCAUCUGCAUACCGCUCCUAGUGUCCAAAGAGCCCUUCCAGGCCCUUUGUGGGCUGACCGACUUCAGGCCUCUCUCCACCCGCCCACGCGGAGAACUGCGGCUGGACAAGGGUCCCUGAGCCUUGGACUGGGGAAACACGGACGUCUUAUCUUCCGCUGACGCUCUGCACUCUGAUCAGUUUUGAGCUUCUACGUUAACCAUCAUCCACACAGAGAAACGUCCCUGGUGAGGUCUGAGGGCUGCGGACCACUCUACAGAUAUAGAGAUUGGUAAUGCCAUGAACUGAUUUCUUCAACAAAACCAUUUUGUCGAAGACAAGCAUCACAUUUACUUCUGUAAUCUACAAAACUUAGCAGAGCAUUAAGAUACAUGGACUAAGGAAAAUAAAUUAUCCAAGACAAUGUUGGAGCAAAAAUCCACACAGGAUCAUGUUCAAACCCCCCUCCCCAUUUUUAAAGAGGUGAAAAAUGGAUGCAGAAGAGAUGACCAACUUCUCCAAAUCAUUCUCUAAUGAGAGACAAACCCUGAGACUAUGAAGAUUUUAAGAGUGAUACAGCUUCUGUUUACAAAGCAGUCCCAAGCUUAUCCGAAGAGUCUGGAAACGGAUGAGUCAUUUUAUUAAUUCUGUAAAAUGUCAAGCACGCCAUUACCAAACCUCUUUAUGAGAGCCAGACAACAGCCCAACCUGGCCUCCUCUGGUUCUCUCAACUCCCACAUCUGGUCACAUCGGGUCAGUUCUGUAUUUCAGGUUCCCAACGUGGGCUAGCGUUUACCUCUUUGCUGGCUUUCCUGCCUUCUGUUCAAUGCAGGCCUUGCUUUCAAGACUGACUGCAUUAGCUUUGCAGCUCCAAUUGCUCUUCAUUCCACUUUUAAAAAAUGCAAAUGCUGGAGAGGUAACCAGUUGAGAGCACUUAACGCUCUGGCAGAAGAUCUGGGAUCCAUUCCCAGCACCCAUAUUGCCGGUUCACAACUAUCUCUAACUCCAAUCCUAGAUGAUCCAAUGCCCUCUUCUGAACCCUUGCUGGCACCAAGGACACACAUUGUAUAUAAACAUACAUGCAGG